CUUGCCAAAACUAACCUUGCCUGUGCUUGUGCCACGUAAAAAGCACUAAGUCCAUUCGGCUGAGUGGUUGGUGUUAGGAAGGGCAUCCAGCUGUAAAAAUCCUGCCAAAACAGUUACAGGAGUCUGGUGCAAGCUUCUUCCUGGCUGGUUCUUGUUAGACCAUCACACUCAUGCCAGCAUGGAAGGAAAACGUUAAACAAUGAUGAUGAUGAUGAUGAUGAUA